GCCAUCUGGUAGGCUAAGAAAGCUGUAGAGUGAAAGAGGAAGAAGAAAGGCUGAAGAAAGCGAGGGAACGUGGUGACGAGGAUUUAUUCUCUAGCUGAAUAGACCAGGUAGUAUUAACACUGGAGAAAUCAAAGAAUGGAAUUCUGACUAUAAUUUUGCUCAGGUGAAAGAAUGCUCUGUUUAGCAUGUCAAUCACAGCCUCAUGUUCUCAGACAUGUGCCUGGUAUGCAGACUGCAGUGGAUCAAGGUGAUCUGUAAUUAAAGAGCUCACAACUCUUUCUGGACACACUUGUGAUUUGAGAGUUAUUGAAAACAGAUGGUCUGGAAAGGGGAGUGGGACAAAAGCUGUCAGGGAUGGUGUCUUAAUAGGUGGAAAUGAAUGGAAGUGAAUAUGGAGGCAUAGAGGGGACUGGAUAGAAAUGAGCUGUGAAAUUCAUAGCAUCUUUGUAAAUGUAAACAUUAAGAAAUUUAGCUUUGAAAUAGUGAAAAUGAAAAAGGGGUAAAAGGAUGUUAUGAAUGUGCAUAUGGUUUAAAAAUUUGGUUGCAAAAACCCAGUGACCGCAUUAUUACCCCAGGACUAUAUGUCUGUCUGCCCAAUUCUAAUAGAAGUGUUAUCAUUAUGCAAACAAGUAGAGUGCCUUCACAAUCAAGGGCAGUGACCAACAUA